rnacentral:tRNA from 1 species
GGGAUCGUAGCUCAGCUGGGAGAGCGCGUGGAUCGCAACCACGAGGUCGUGGGUUCGAGACCCACCGAUUCCA